rnacentral:rRNA from 1 species
AUUGAACGCUGGCGGCAGGCCUAACACAUGCAAGUCGAGCGGAUGAAGAGAGCUUGCUCUCUGAUUUAGCGGCGGACGGGUGAGUAAUGCCUAGGAAUCUGCCUGGUAGUGGGGGAUAACGUUCCGAAAGGAACGCUAAUACCGCAUACGUCCUACGGGAGAAAGCAGGGGACCUUCGGGCCUUGCGCUAUCAGAUGAGCCUAGGUCGGAUUAGCUAGUUGGUGAGGUAAUGGCUCACCAAGGCGACGAUCCGUAACUGGUCUGAGAGGAUGAUCAGUCGCACUGGAACUGAGACACGGUCCAGACUCCUACGGGAGGCAGCAGUGGGGAAUAUUGGACAAUGGGCGAAAGCCUGAUCCAGCCAUGCCGCGUGUGUGAAGAAGGUCUUCGGAUUGUAAAGCACUUUAAGUUGGGAGGAAGGGCAGCAAGUUAAUACCUUGCUGUUUUGACGUUACCGACAGAAUAAGCACCGGCUAACUUCGUGCCAGCCGCCGCCGUAAGAC